rnacentral:lncRNA from 1 species
UCCGAACGGUCUCCAAAUGCUUCCCCACUAUCAAAAGGUUAAUCACCUCAUCAUUACGAAUAUGUUGACACUAAAAUUAUAUUUUUCGGAGACGGACCCAAAAUUGGGUCUAAAACUGGAUUGUUGGACCCACAAUUGGAAUCCCGAAAACGAAUCCGUGAAAACGUCCCAAACACCUUACUAAACUAACACCCAAAAUUUAGCACAAAAAUAUGCCUAAAACAUAGCAAAUCAGCCCCAACAAUUAAAAUAAUUAAUAAGUCUUGACUUACGACUUGGCAGCCCCUUGAUCACCAAUUUCUGGAAAAACGAGACCCUUCCAACCCAAACAGAUUAUACCACGACGAUCCUUGCGAAAAACUCUACAAGUUAGCCUCAAGAAUGACUCAAAACGGACCUAAGAUGAUCAAGAUCUAACCUUUCAAAGUUCAACAACAAUUCAUUCCGAAAAUCAC